AACGCACGAGACCUGCGGACCUGCGGAGGGAUCAUCAGUGAAUGUUCUCUCUUUUGAGAUGUUUUAAUAAGGAGGGCACUUGUGAGUGUGUGGUGCCGCGCGCACACGGCGGAGCCCCCGUCGUUGCGUGUUGUGUGUCCACACCCCACUUGUUUGCCCCCCUCAUUAUAACACACUCUCCAGUGCACUUGUAUAUAUAUAUUCACUCUUGUGUUGUACACACACAAGGAAUGAUGGUGU
rnacentral:misc_RNA from 1 species